ACGGAAGGCAGCAGCUAAGAAUAUUCCGCAAUGGGGGAAACCCUGACGGAGCGACGCCGCGUGGAUGAUGAAGGCCGGGAGGUUGUAAAAUCCUUUUAUGACUGAGGAAUAAGUAUUCUGAGAGAAACGGAGUAUGGUGACUGUAGGUCAUGAAUAAGCAACGGCUAAUUACGUGCCAGCAGCCGCGGUAACACGUAAGGUGCGAGCGUUGUUCGGAAUCAUUGGGCGUAAAGGGCAUGUAGGCGGUCUGUCAAGCCAGGCGUGAAAGCCGGGGGCUCAACCCCCGAACUGCGCUUGGAACUGGCGGACUGGAGUCGCUGAGGGGGAACCGGAAUUCCUGGUGUAGGGGUGAAAUCUGUAGAUAUCAGGAAGAACACCGAUGGCGAAGGCAGGUUUCCAGCAGACGACUGACGCUGAGGUGCGAAGGUGCGGGGAGCAAACAGGAUUAGAUACCCUGGUA
rnacentral:rRNA from 1 species